AGGAAUUUAGGAUAAUAUAAACCAUGGGCCUUCAAAGCCCAAAACAGAGGUGUAACCCCCCUAAUUCCUG
rnacentral:tRNA from 1 species